rnacentral:misc_RNA from 1 species
GAUGAAGAACGCAGCAAAAUGCGAUAAGUAAUGUGAAUUGCAGAAUUCAGUGAAUCAUCGAAUCUUUGAACGCACAUUGCGCCCGCUGGUAUUCCGGCGGGCAUGCCUGUUCGAGCGUCAUUUCAACCCUCAAGCCCCCGGGUUUGGUGUUGGGGAUCGGCUCUGCCCUUCUGGGCGGUGCCGCCCCCGAAAUACAUUGGCGGUCUCGCUGCAGCCUCCAUUGCGUAGUAGCUAACACCUCGCAACUGGAACGCGGCGCGGCCAUGCCGUAAAACCCCAACUUCUGAAUGUUGACCUCGGAUCAGGUAGUAAUACCCGCUGAACUUAAGCAUAUCAAUAAGCGGAGGA